GAAUUGAAAUACGGAACAUACUGAAUGACCUGUUUAUAUAUAGAACGAAAAGAGUAAAUAAUACAUACAAUACCAGAGGUUCACAUCAGAUAGCAGCCAAAAAUGAAAAAGCAAUAGCAUCAGUACUACUUUUAUUCCUGACAGACCCCAUAUUACUAUACUAGUAUUAUAUUGUACUCAAAGCAGCCUAUUCACCAUCAGACAUAAUAAAGAAUGAAUUCAAGCUGGAUCUUUGAACAAAAUACCAAAUACAAGAUAUCCCCUUCCCAAUACAGAACGAGAAAUGUACGCGCGCCAAAAAUUAAACCCCAGUAGUCAUAAGAUAUCUGUAUGCUGGUUCAGAUGAAAGUCAAUGGCGAUUCGACAACUUGAGGGUCUCCCUUUCAUGUGUGGUUGAACUAUGGGUAAUGCUUGAGGUCAACUGAUCCCAAUUCAUAAGCUUUUAUCUGCAAAAUAAAUAUAAAUCAUGCAGAUCAAAUAAAAAUCCCUUGAUAGCAUGCCUAAUGACUCUUGAAUUCUCCAUUGUAUAUCAUGUCAAUAAUCAAUAGAAAUGAUG
rnacentral:lncRNA from 1 species